UGAACGCUGGCGGCGUGCUUAACACAUGCAAGUCGCACGAGAACGCUUCAGCUUGCUGAAGCUAGUACAGUGGCGCACGGGUGAGUAACGCGUGGGUAAUCUACCUUUGAAUCGGGGAUAACUCCGCGAAAGCGGGGCUAAUACCGGAUGACAUUUUAAGGACUCCGGAUCUUAAAAUUAAAGGGGGCCUCUACAUGUAAGCUCUUGUUUGAAGAUGAGCCCGCGUACCAUUAGCUUGUUGGUUGGGUAAAAGCCUACCAAGGCUUCGAUGGUUAGCUGGUCUGAGAGGAUGAUCAGCCACACUGAAACUGACACACGGUCAAGACUCCUACGGGAGGCAGCAGUGAGGAAUUUUGCGCAAUGGGGGAAACCCUGACGCAGCAACGCCGCGUGAGUGAUGAAGGCUUUCGGGUCGUAAAACUCUGUCAAGUGGGAAGAACCUAUCAUGUGCGAAUACCACGUGAUACUGACGGUACCACUGAAGGAAGCACCGGCUAACUCC
rnacentral:rRNA from 1 species